rnacentral:tRNA from 1 species
CUGCCCUUAGCUCAGUCGGAUAGAGCAACAGCCUUCUAAGCUGUGGGUCGGGGGUUCGAUUCCCUCAGGGCAGGCCA